rnacentral:misc_RNA from 1 species
GAAAUGCGAUAAGUAAUGUGAAUUGCAGAAUUCAGUGAAUCAUCGAAUCUUUGAACGCACCUUGCGCUCCUUGGUAUUCCUUGGAGCAUGCCUGUUUGAGUAUCAUGAAAUCUUCAAAGUAAAUCUUUUGUUAACUCAAUUGGUUUCUACUUUGGUAUUGGAGGUCUUUGCAGCUUCACACCUGCUCCUCUUUGUUCAUUAGCUGGAUCUCAGUGUUAUGCUUGGUUCCACUCGGCGUGAUAAGUUAUCUAUCGCUGAGGACACUGUAAAAGGUGGCCAAGGUAAAUGCAGAUGAACCGCUUCUAAUAGUAAAUUGACUUGGACAAUACUUUUAUGAUCUGAUCUCAAAUCAGGUAGGACUACCCGCUGAACUUAAGC